GUGGAUCAACAUAUAUAAUACUCAGAAAUUGAGACAAAUGCGAGACAUUGCAAUAUCAAUAAUACAUAACGAAAAGGGAUGGAUAAUAAUUUAUUGAUUUGAAGAACGACUGGUACAAAAUUUGAACCUAAGUUUUGACUGAAUAAGCAACAACGAAAUUGGUCCAAAAACCACGAACUUCGACAUCAACUGAACCGGCACCGGGAACUCAAACUGAACACAAGUUCAGUCCCACAUUUCGAUCGAAAUGCAUCCUCAAUACAAAGCAAUUUUGGUUCUGAAUAUGCUUAGCACAAGAAAAUUUUGGACAGCCAUAACAAGAUGGGACCCAGAUCUGUCCGGAAACCUCGCCGGAAUUUCAAACUCGAACCCAAAAUCAAAGACUGAAUAAAGACGCCCAAGCUCUGAAAAGGCAACGAGAGUUUUUAGCUGCUUAAGAGACGUUGCUGCUGGUUUUACUGCGCUUUAGCAGCCAUUACUAUUGUUUCCGACGAGCUCCGGUGAUGGAGGAAACGGGUCUGUGGGUGAUGGUUUUGGAGUCGGGCGGUGGGUUUGAUGGUGAGAGGAUGGGUGUCAUUGGAUUUGUUUGGGAAUUAAGAGUGGGUUCUCAAGCUGUGAGAAUGGCGAAGAAGCAGGGGUCCUUUGGGGCGAAGCGAAGAAGAUGAGAUCGUGGGGGCUGGGUUCCUUUCUGAAAGUCGGUGCUCUUCUCCAGCUUUUCCCUACGCUUUCUUUUUUUGUAUUUUUUAGCACCUUAG
rnacentral:lncRNA from 1 species